CAAAAAAGAUUUGAGGCACAUGGGAGGGAAAUUGGCUUGCUUGUCCUGCCAUGAUGGCUGGCCAUAUUAGAGCACAAAGUGAAAAUAUGUAAAGCUGCUAUGCAAGGUGGGGAAUCUCCAGAGCAAAAGGUACAAAUAGAUCAAAAAAUGAAUCAUGAACAGGUGGAGACAUGGUCAGUGGAGGCAUAAAGGUGUUGUUCUGCUGUAUUUGUAAUAGGCAACAAAGGAUCCUCACAGGCCUGUCUCACUGACAAGUGUUGUGGAAAUUGCUGGAAAGAGUAAUUAUAGAUUAGCUUGUAAAACACUUGGAGAACAGAGAAAUAAUUACUAGCAAACAUUUUCAUUUUUGAUAAAUUAAUUCCUGUAUAUCAAAUCUGUAGCAGUCAUAUAAAUUAUUAACGAAUGAAAUGGGUAUGUAUUUUAACAAAUUAGAUGGGUAUACAUUUUGCUUUUAAGGUCUUCAGUAGAGUUCCUCAUGAAAUGUUUAUCUGAAAACUAAAAAAAAUAAAUAGUUUAAGAAGUUAACUAUUACUGUAGAUGGAAGAUUUUUUGUUUCAUCAGAGUGAGGCCAAAUCCUAGUGCCCUAGAUGAACUACCCUGGUUAAAUUUCCUGCCAUAAGUGGAGAAAUAGAUGAGAUAUACUCACCCUGCCAGCAAGAAAGUGUCUGUAGUAUUUAUUUACUGAAAUUCAAAACUAAGGCUCCGAAAAAUCUGGUGUAUGUUACUGGUCUUGGUCCCACUACUGGACAACACCCUCAUCCUGGUCACCUCCUCAGGGGUGCCUGUAGCCUUGCACCUCAGUGGCGUUGCUGGCUUCCAGACAUUGGCUCACCAUCACAGUGAGGAAAACGGUGGCUUAUGGAAAUUUGUGGCAAGUGGUGGUGUGUCACUGGGAACAAGUGUUGUGGUGGGUCAGCAGCACUCAUUAGUUCUUGAGAGCCAGUUCCUGUGGUCUUUUGACUUUCCUGUCAGUGCUGCCUAUGAGUAUGAGGAUGAGGCAGUUCGGGUGAAUAUAAACUUUCCAGAGGACUGGAAGGGUCGGAUGUGGCAACGACGACGAGAUACAUCUUUGGCUGGCAAGACCUUGCAACUCAGGUCCUUGUUUGAUAUUAUAUGUCUAUCUUCCUAUCUGUCUGUCUUUCUGCAUGUCUCUCUAUAUAUCUUUCUAUCUAUCAUUCUGUUUCUGUCUAUCUCUAUAUCUCUGGCUCUAUCUUUAUCUAUCUCUCUACAUCAAUGGUCUCCCCAAUGCAUCUCAACUCCUUAAACCAGUUCUGUUCACAGAUGACACUACUUAUGUCUUCUCCCACUCAAACCUGGCUAUACCUAGAGAUACUGUAAACAAUGAGCUGCAAAAAAAUACCAACUUGGAUGACCAACAAACUUACUCUCAGUAUAGACAAAACCUACUUAAUGCUUUUUGGAAACAGGGCCUUAAAUAUCCAACUUAACAUAUCGAUAAAUGGUUUCCCCAUUACAAGACACACUGAGGGUAAAUUUCAGGUACUACCGUCUUGCCAAGUAAGUGUAAAACGAGAGCCUGUAAUUGUUUUACAUGAUGGUGGAAUUGCUGGUGUCUUUUGUCUGUCUCAUAAAUAUGCAAGAUUACGGGUAGGUCUUGCUACUACUACAUACACUUAGGUCACAUUACACAUACAUGUUCACGUUUAUUUAUACACACUCAUCUGAGUUUUCUUUGAUUUUAUCUUAAUAGUUCUUAGUACUUUUUCUUUUAUAUCCAUGGGGAAGUGGAAUAAGAAUCUUUCCUCCGUAAGCCAUGCAUGUUGUAAAAGUUAACUAAAAUGCCGGGAACAAUGGGCUAGUAACCCUUUUCCCUGUAAUGAUUACUAAAAAGAAUAAGAAGAAAAUUGUCAGAGUGGGAUGUCUGAAUGUGCGUGGAUGUUGUGCCAAUGAUAAGAGAUGAUUGUGGAUGCUAUGACUGAAAAGAAGCUGGAUGUCCUGGCUUUAAGUGAAACAAAGAUGAAGGAGGUGGGAGAGUUUCAGUGGAGAGAAGUAAAUGGAAUUAGGUCAAUGGUUUCAAAUAGAGUUAAAGCUAAAGAAGGAGUAGCAAUAAUAUUGAAGGAUAAGCUAUGGCAGGAAAAGAGGGAAUAUAAAUCUAUUAAUUCAAUGAUUACAUGGAGUAAAAUAAAGGUUGGAUGUGAAAAGUGGGUUAUAGCAAGCAUAUAUGCACCAGGAGAAGAGAGAAGUGUAGAGGAGAGAGGUUUUGGGAAUUAUUGAGUGAGUGUGUGGAGAGUUUUGAGCCAAGUGUGAGAGUACUUGUGGUUGGGGAUUUCAAUGCUAAAGUGGGUAAAAAUGUUAUGGAGGGAGUAGUAGGUAACUUUGGGGUGCCAGGGGUAAAUGAAAAUGGGGAGCCUUUAAUGGAGCUAUGUGUAGAAAGAGGUUUGGUAAUAAGUAAUACAUAUUUUAUGAAAAAGAGGAUAAAUAUACAAGGUAUGAUAUAGCACGUAAUGAAAGUACAGUGGACCCCCGCAUAACGAUUACCUCCGAAUGCGACCAAUUAUGUAAGUGUCCUGUAAAGAUUUCUAAAAAGAAUAAGAAGAAGAAAAUUGUCAAAGUGGGAAGUCUGAAUGUGCGUGGAUGUUGUGCAAAUGAUAAGAAAGAGAUGAUUGUGGAUGUUAUGAAUGAUAAGAAACUGGAUGUCCUGGCUUUAAGUGAAACAAAGCUGAAGGGGGUGGGAGAGUUUCAAUGGAGAGGAAUAAAUGGGAUUAGGUCAGGGGUUUCAAAUAGAGUUAGAGCUAAAGAAGGAAUAGCAGUAAUGUUGAAGGAUAAGCUAUGACAGGAAAAGAGGGACUACAAAUGUAUAAAUUCAAGGAUUAUGUGGAGUAAAAUAAAGAUUGGAUGUGAAAAGUGGGUUAUAGUAAGCGUGUAUGCACCUGGAGAAGAGAGAAGUGUAGAGGAGAGAGAGAGAUUCUGGGAAAUGUUAAGUGAAUGCAUGGGGAGUUUUGAAUCAAGUGUGAGAGUAAUGGUGGUUGGGGAUUUCAAUGCUAAAGUGGGUAAAAAUGUUAUGGAGGGAGUAGUAGGUAAAUUUGGGGUGCCAGGGGUAAAUGGAAAUGGGGAGCCUUUAAUUGAGCUAUGUGUAGAAAGAAAUUUGGUAAUAAGUAAUACAUAUUUUAUGAAAAAGAGGAUAAAUAAAUAUACAAGGUAUGAUGUAGCACGUAAUGAAAGUAGUUUGUUAGAUUAUGUAUUGGUAGAUAAAAGGAUGAUGGGUAGGCUCCAGGAUGUACAUGUUUAUAGAGGGGCAACUGAUAUAUCGGAUCAUUAUUUAGUUGUAGCUACAGUUAGAGUAAGAGGUAGAUGGGAAAAGAGGAAGGU